rnacentral:rRNA from 1 species
GAUGAACGCUGGCGGCGUGCUUAACACAUGCAAGUCGAACGGAAAGGCCCUGCAUUUGUGGGGUGCUCGAGUGGCGAACGGGUGAGUAACACGUGAGUAACCUGCCCUUGACUUUGGGAUAACUUCAGGAAACUGGGGCUAAUACCGGAUAGGAGCUCCUGCUGCAUGGUGGGGGUUGGAAAGUUUCGGCGGUUGGGGAUGGUUUCGCGGCUUAUGAGCUUGUUGGUGGGGUAGUGGCUUACCAAGGCUUUGACGGGUAGCCGGCGUGAGAGGGUGACCAGGGACAAGACUCCUGCGGGACGGAGCAGACUCCAACGGGAGGCAAUGGGGGGAAGCCUGACACAGUAAGGGCGCGUGUGAGACGGCGGCGUUCGGUGCGGAAUGACGUCUUGUGGGUUAUGAACCGCUUUCGCCUGAGACGAGGCGUUAGUGACGGUAAUGUAUAAAGAAGCACCGGCUAACUACGUG